AACGCCGCGUGUGUGAAGAAGGCUCUUGGGUCGUAAAGCACUUUCGACUGGGAAGAAGGGUUAUUAGGUAAAUAAUCUAGUAAUCUGACGGUACCAGCAGAAGAAGCACUGGCUAAUUCCGUGCCAGCCACGGCGGUGACUGAGCGGGCUGGCAAGGCGCAUA
rnacentral:rRNA from 1 species